rnacentral:rRNA from 1 species
GACAGAGGGUGCAAACGUUGUUCGGAAUUACUGGGCGUAAAGCGCGUGUAGGCUGCUUCGCAAGUCGGAUGUGAAAGCCCUGGGCUCAACCCAGGAAGUGCAUUCGAAACUGCAGAGCUGGAGUCCUGGAGAGGAAGGCGGAAUUCUCGGUGUAGAGGUGAAAUUCGUAGAUAUCGGGAGGAACACCUGUGGCGAAGGCGGCCACCUGGACGACAACUGACGCUGAGACGCGAAAAGCGUGGGUAGCAAACGAGG